UAGAGGGAGGGAGGGAGAGAUGGGGCAACAGGCUAGCUCUGUGGGAGGUAGCACGGUCCCUCAGCCUCCACCGGCGUCGUGCCACACACACACACACACACAGGUGACACACACUGUUGACACACACCGCCGUCGUGCCACCCCCAGUUCAAAUACUAAUCAAAGGAAUAACUGUGGACAUUAACACUGGUGGGCUGAGAGAACACAGCUUCUUACCUGCCUGGUGUGUGAAUGACGCUGCACCACACAGAGAGACAACAUAGCCUGCUACCUGCCUGGUGUGUGAAUGACGCUGCACCACACAGAGAGACAACACAGCCUGCUACCUGCCUGGUGUGUGAAUAAACCUGAACCACACGGAGAGACAACACAGCCUGCUACCUGCCUGGUGUGUGAAUAAACCUGAACCACAGAAUGCUCUGACCAAUAAGAGAGUAUAACACAGGUUAUACCAGAUGGAUUGGUCGCUAGUAACCUUACUCAGCGUUAACAUAUACUUUAAUGGAUAUACGGUCACAACACUGAAGGUCUGCUGUUCAGCGUGGACUAGCAGCUAGCCACAUGCUAAAGUAAUGAAGGUCAUGACAGAGGAAGGUCUGCUGUUCAGCGUGGACUAGCAGCUAGCCACAUGCUAAAGUAAUGAAGGUCAUGACAGAGGAAGGUCUGCUGUUCAGCAUGGACUAGCAGCUAGCCACAUGCUAAAGUAAUGAAGGUCUGCUGUUCAGCAUGGUCUAGCAGCUAGCCACAUGCUAAAGUAAUGAAGGUCAUGACAGAGGAAGGUCUGCUGUUCAGCAUGGACUAGCAGCUAGCCACAUGCUAAAGUAAUGAAGGUCUGCUGUUCAGCAUGGACUAGCAGCUAGCCACAUGCUAAAGUAAUGAAGGUCAUGAGAGAGGAAGGUCUGCUGUUCAGCAUGGACUAGCAGCUAGCCACAUGCUAAAGUAAUGAAGGUCUGCUGUUCAGCAUGGUCUAGCAGCUAGCCACAUGCUAAAGUAAUGAAGGUCUGCUGUUCAGCAUGGACUAGCAGCUAGCCACAUGCUAAAGUAAUGAAGGUCAUGACAGAGGAAGGUCUGCUGUUCAGCAUGGACUAGCAGCUACCCACAUGCUAAAGUAAUGAAGGUCAUAACACUGAAGGUCUGCUGUUCAGCGUGGACUAGCAGCUAUCCACAUGCUAAAGUAAUGAAGGUCAUGACAGUGGAAGGUCUGCUGUUCAGCAUGGACUAGCAGCUAGCCACAUGCUAAAGUAAUGAAGGUCUGCUGUUCAGCAUGGACUAGCAGCUAGCCACAUGCUAAAGUAAUGAAGGUCUGCUGUUCAGCAUGGACUAGCAGCUAGCCACAUGCUAAAGUAAUGCAGGUCAUGACAGUGGAAGGUCUGCUGUUCAGCAUGGACUAGCAGCUAGCCACAUGCUAAAGUAAUGAAGGUCAUGACAGUGGAAGGUCUGCUGUUCAGCGUGGACUAGCAGCUAGCCACAUGCUAAAGUAAUGAAGGUCAUGACAGAGGAAGGUCUGCUGUUCAGCGUGGACUAGCAGCUAGCCACAUGCUAAAGUAUUGAAGGUCAUGACAGAGGAAGGUCUGCUGUUCAGCGUGGACUAGCAGCUAGCCACAUGCUAAAGUAAUGAAGGUCAUGACAGAGGAAGUUCUGCUGUUCAGCGUGGACUAGCAGCUAGCCACAUGCUAAAGUAAUGAAGGUCAUGACAGAGGAAGGCCUGCUGUUCAGCAUGGACUAGCAGCUAGCCACAUGCUAAAGUAAUGAAGGUCAUGACAGAGGAAGUUCUGCUGUUCAGCGUGGACUAGCAGCUAGCCACAUGCUAAAGUAAUGAAGGUCAUGACAGAGGAAGGCCUGCUGUUCAGCAUGGACUAGCGGCUAGCCACAUGCUAAAGUAAUGAAGGUCAUGACAGUGGAAGGUCUGCUAUUCAGCAUGGACUAGCAGCUACCCACAUGCUAAAGUAAUGAAGGUCAUGACAGUGGAAGGUCUGCUGUUCAGCAUGGACUAGCAGCUAGCCACAUGCUAAAGUAAUGAAGGUCAUAACACUGAAGGUCUGCUGUUCAGCGUGGACUAGCAGCUAGCCACAUGCUAAAGUAAUGAAGGUCAUGACAGAGGAAGGUCUGCUGUUCAGCGUGGACUAGCAGCUAGCCACAUGCUAAAGUAAUGAAGGUCAUGACAGAGGAAGGCCUGCUGUUCAGCAUGGACUAGCAGCUAGCCACAUGCUAAAGUAAUGAAGGUCUGCUGUUCAGCAUGGUCUAGCGGCUAGCCACAUGCUAAAGUAAUGAAGGUCAUGAGACUGGAGGUCUGCUGUUCAGCAUGGACUAUUAGCUAGCCACAUGCUAAAGUAAUGAAGGUCAUGAGACUUGAGGUCUGCUGUUCAGCGUGGACUUGCAGCUAGCCACAUGCUAAAGUAAUGGCUAAAGGAGACUUCAUCUGAACACAGUGGAUUAUAAACUAGCUGUGGUCGUCCAUUGGCACGUGGAAUACAAUGUGUGUGUGUGUGUGUGUGUGUGUGUGUGUGUGUGUGUGUGUGUGUGUGUGUGUGUGUGUGUGUGUGUAUUUCUCACCAUAGUACCAUGUGACAGAACUAAUUAACAGAACCCUUAUCUUCAUUAACCAGGAUCACACAGUUAAUACAGGAUAUCAGAGGAACACACACACACACACACACACACACACACACACACACAGGCCACACAUACACAUACACACACACGCACACACUCUACCUAGAGGAAUAGCAGAACCACCGACCAUUCUACACAGACACACACACACACACACACACACACACACACACACACACACACACACACACACACACACACACACACACACACACACACUACCUUGAGGAACAGCAGGACCGACGAGGCUUUAAUUGGGAAACCAUUGUCCCUCAGCAGCGUGAACACAGACACUCCCGUCUCUCCAUCCACUCCCAAAGGGAGAGAAUCUACACAGAGGAGAGGAAAACAUUCUCCAGGGUCUGAAUCAGAGAUGGAGAGAGAAGGAGGAAGAGGAGGGAGAGGAAGAAGA